AAGGACAGCAUAUGGAACACAAAAGUAAGAAAGGAUAAAUAAGGCCAUUGUAACACCCAAAAAGUAAGCAAUGAUAAGAAACAAGUAAUCCUAUCGAUCCUGUUGGGAUUAUAGAUCAUGACCUUGCAUGAUCAAUAAAAAGUUCAUCUUUGUCCAUGCAAGAGAAGCCCAGCUGGAGAAGUCAUGGCUUGUAACUUAAAAUGUAAGUUUCUCACAUGUAUCACUGGAAGAUGCUCUUUUAUAUUUUGCUAUCAGACGUGAAACAGAUCUUACCCAAUAUCCUCAUAUAAAAAUUUAUUUCACUCUUACUUGUGAUAGAGCUAUAACAGAUCCCUUUCAUCAAACUUAAACAAUUCAAAGCCCCCUUGUAAACCAGAUCAGGAUUAUUAAUACUAAAACAGCUAUUCGCAAGAAAUCUUCUUUGAAAAUAAAAAGACCAUAAGAAUUUGCAUAAAUGGAAUAAGUCCUAUUCUUUCUGGUGGUUUGUCUCAUCUGUCUUGCUUCCUUAUUCCACCAUAAAGAGAUAUCCUCCAUUGAAGUAAAACACUUCA
rnacentral:lncRNA from 1 species